UUUGUUCAGGAAAAGUGUCUACACUCUGAGCUUCAAGGGAUUAAAUACAAUACCAUCAAUACAUUCCUGAAGCCUUGGAGGAUCUACCGCAACAACUGGUUUCGUUAUCCUGGUAAUCGAUGAGAAUCUUGGAAGACUGGAAAAGGAUUAGUUCAAGUCAAAAGGACCAGAAGAGAGUGAUAACGAAUUGCAAAUUGGCCUCAAAACUGGGAGAAGUUCUAUGCUAAAAAAUGUGCCAUAGGUCUUCUCUAAAGUAGACGUUUUUCUAAAGUAAAUCUUUUAUGGUAAUUUGAAGAAACAUUGAUGAAAUAGAAAUAGAUAUUUGGGAGUUCUGUGUAGAAGUAUGUAAUAAAUUAUUUAUGACGAUCAUGUUAUGGCCAACUUUUAUAGCGCAGUAUGUAAUUGAAU